rnacentral:misc_RNA from 1 species
GAUGAAGAACGUAGCGAAAUGCGAUACUUGGUGUGAAUUGCAGAAUCCCGUGAACCAUCGAGUUUUUGAACGCAAGUUGCGCCCGAAGCCUUUUUUUGGCCGAGGGCACGUCUGCCUGGGCGUCACGCAUCGCGUCGCCCCCCACAAAUUCUCCGUCAGGGGAGCUUGUGUUUCGGGGGCGGAUACUGGUCUCCCGUGCUCAUGGCGCGGUUGGCCGAAAUAGGAGUCCCUUCGAUGGACGCACGAACUAGUGGUGGUCGUAAAAACCCUCGUCUUUUGUUUCGUGCCGUUAGUCGCGAGGGAAGCUCUUUAAAAACCCCAACGCGUCGUCCCUUGACGGCGCUUCGACCGCGACCCCAGGUCAGGCGGGACUACCCGCUGAGUUUAAGCAUAUCAAUAAGCGGAGGA